rnacentral:tRNA from 1 species
CUCAUUUUAAUUUAAAUUAAAAAUAUUGAUUUGCAAAAUCAAAAAUGCUUUAUAUGAGU